rnacentral:rRNA from 1 species
CACUCCUGCGGGAGGCAGCAGUGGGGAAUCUUGCGCAAUGGGCGAAAGCCUGACGCAGCCAUGCCGCGUGAAUGAUGAAGGUCUUAGGAUUGUAAAAUUCUUUCACCGGGGACGAUAAUGACGGUACCCGGAGAAGAAGCCCCGGCUAACUUCGUGCCAGCAGCCGCGGUAAUACGAAGGGGGCUAGCGUUGCUCGGAAUUACUGGGCGUAAAGGGAGCGUAGGCGGACAUUUAAGUCAGGGGUGAAAUCCCGGGGCUCAACCUCGGAAUUGCCUUUGAUACUGGGUGUCUUGAGUAUGAGAGAGGUGUGUGGAACUCCGAGUGUAGAGGUGAAAUUCGUAGAUAUUCGGAAGAACACCAGUGGCGAAGGCGACACACUGGCUCAUUACUGACGCUGAGGCUCGAAAGCGUGGGGAGCAAACAGGAUUAGAAACCCGAGUAGUCC